GAGCCCUGCCACGGCCGGGCCUCUUGGUGCAGAUCUGCGGCCCCGCCGAGGAGCAGCAGACCAUGGGGUGCUGGGGAGGCACUGCCCAGAGGACGAACGGGGUGAACCUGGAGGAUGGCCUGACUGGAGCUGCUCUCCAAAAUGGGAAGGGACACCAAAAUCCUCGUUUGGUUGUCCCCCGGUCGCUCAAGGUGUCACUUGAGCACUGGUAAAACUUGCAAUCAGCACCAGGCCGUCCCCAGCCUGCAUUACUGGGAUGAGGUGACAGUGACAGAUGGGGAAAGGCACCACUAAUGUGAAGGGACAGAGUCACACCAGGGCCAGAUUCUGCUGGGACGGCGCUGCAGAGAGCCCGUGUGCGAGCUACGGAUUGGGGUGGGGGUGGCUCUCGGGUGGGCACAGCCCUUUUGUUAUCAGUGUCACAAUUCUGUGCCAGCUUCUGCUCCAUUAUCAGGGAAACGGGAAUUCAGACAAAGAUCCCGGUGCGUUCCCAAACCCCAGGUCCUCACCUGAUUUGUGGGGGUGGCCGAGGCCGUGUUCCGCAGCGCUGUGAGCCCGGGGCGUCACGUAGCGGAUGGAGGUCUCCUCCAAGUACUUGUCCACCAGGUCCGGACACACUGCCACAGAAGGGUCUCGUUAGGACAGACCGACAGACAGCAGCAGGCAGCAGCACAAAGCGCUGCAUGCACAGAUCCACACACAUCCCCCUGAUGAUUUCCACCGAUGACUUCCCACAGCUACAGGCCCAGCCCAGGCUCAGCACCAGGAUCAUUCCAACACCGUCAGUCCCCAGGACAGCCCCACGCCGAUGCCCCUCCCUGCAUCUCCAAGCUGCAAUAGCAGACAGUGUUAUCUGCAUGACUUUGUUAUCUGCAUGACUUCAGAGCAGAGCUCUGAUGCAGCGUGACGCGCGCUGCCAGCGCUCCGAAGUCAGACUGCUAAGGAGGAGCAGCUGCAAGCAAAGAUGAUGGGGAAAGCAAGACCACAGCUCCCAUCCUUCCCCCAGCUCUGAGCUAACUCAGGGCUGAGGUUUUGCUCCUCUGCAGAGAAACGGCUACGAAAGAGGAACAGAGAUGAGAUCGCAGUGCGGCGCAGCUGUGGAAGGAGGCAGGGACCCGAGCAGCACUUCCUCCAACCCAUCAACCCACUCCCCCUCAAUGCAAAGCACACUGUAAACCU